rnacentral:lncRNA from 1 species
CCGUUUUUAAGAAAAUUUCAGAAAAAGAUUUUAGUAAUUAAAAAUCACAUAACAAAAGAUCUUCAAAUAAUAAUAAUCACAUAAUUACUAAUAAUAAUAGAGGUUAUACGAUUAAAUUCAAUGUAAAACUCAAAUACAAUACCUAUCCCUCUGGAUAAAAUAAAAACCCUGAAACAACAAGGGCGAGGGAACUCUAUAAAAACAACAGGAAUCACAAGUAAAUCUACUAAUCGUCUGCAGCUUUUUACUGAAUCUCCGAACCUGAGUCUCUGAAAGGGUGUAAGAUUUGGGGUGAGAACAAACUACACGUUCUCAGUAGGGAAUAGGAAUGCCGUAAAAGUAAUGAAAUAAAAUGCAAAUAAUUAACUUUACUCAAUAAAAAUAUAUUUUUAUCAAACCCUUAGAAAAUACUCUUGGUUCUACUUUAGAUAAUUAAUUACCUCCUUUUAAAAUCUCUUAACUCAAAACAAAACUUAAAUAUAAAAUUAGUCACACUUUCUGUCUCUCAGCCACAUAUUAAUCCUCAGUCAAAUGUCAACUCGUAAUUACUUUAAUACACUCACAAACAAGUAGUGCAAGUAAGAGAUUCAAUUCAAUGUACAAGCAAGUCACAACAAGACAAACAAUACAAUCACAAAGUAAUAAGACAAGCAAGCGCAAUCAAAUGCAAAUGUACAAACAACAUGAUGCAUGUCUAUCCCUAACGCGUCGGUUGUCUACCCGCAACCCGACGUUACUCGGAGCGAACCCCGAAUAUGGUUUCUUUACUGUAUCAAUUAGACACCUUGGCAUCACGGUUACCCGUGUCAAUUAGGCCUCAUCAUAAUAACGUGUAUCACAGUAAGAAACAGUGCUAUCAAUUAGGCGAACAUUCCCGCUUUAGCAAUCUCAGGCUAUCCGUUAGGCGGGCCCUUUCGCAUUAGCAAUUUGGCACAAAUGCCCAUUCAACAUACAAUAUGCUACCAGUUGUUUAUUCCACUCAUGACUUUUCAUUAUUCCUCCACAUCACCAAUUACAUACUCAUACCUCCGCAUCACUGCUUAACUAUACAUACCUCCGCAUCACCUUAUUAUUAUUUACACCUCCGCAUCACCACAUAUUCCUUCACUUAUCAUACCCCAAAACAUUAGUUCCUAGAUAGCCAAACUUCUUUAACGUUUAAUAAAAAUUCCUUUCCUUAAUAAAUUGGAUUCAAGUUAUUACUUAAACAAAAAACUUUUUUCAAUAGAAUAAACUUAAAACAUAACUUUUCCUGCUAAGUUGAAAACCAAAUAGAAUGAGUUUUAAAUCAAAUUCUCUUUUGAUUAACGCUUUAAGCAAAGCCUCGAAGUUUUAUAAAAAUUUCUGCAGCAUUUCCUCUAAAAUUCGGACUUUGCCACCCUUCAAGGGUCCCAACCAAAUCAUUUUCGAUCCUCAAAGACCAUUCCUGAUAAAUCUGACAAUCCAAAUCCAAUGCCAAAUCAUUUUAUAAAUUUAAAAGCUAACCAGGUUCAAUUUCAAAAUCAUUUCCCACCAUAAGCCUGUAAAUCAGAUUUUUAAUAUAAAGUUCACUUCUUAAUGUAAAUACAUAUUUAAAUCAGGUUUUCAAAACAAAAACACUUUUUCCCUUAAAAUUGGACUUUACUACCCAUGUGGGCUCCCUCAGAUUCCUAACUUCCCAAACUAAUCUCAAAUCCAACUCCAUUCAACCAUUAUCAACAUAACAAUUUCUUUAAUAACUAACUCAUCAUCUUUCAAUUUAACAAGAACACUAAUUUAAUUACUUUUUUCAGUCACAACUCAACCAAUUCAUCAAUUAAUCACGCAAGACAUCUAUAAAUUAUUUGCAAUUACUCACUAAACUUCAAUGGCAUUCAUAAAUUUAAACGAUUAAUUUUAAAAUAAAUCCUCUACCUUCAUACGAAAUCAAAAUCAACAAAAACUUUGGAAAAACUUUUUAAUCGAGCUGCUGAAGAGGAAAGCGUCAGAAAUCGUCUGUGCCUCCUAGAACUCCAAUUGGCCGAACUCAAGAGGAAGGAGAGUUAUGUUACCGUCAGCUUCCACCGAACAAAAAUAAUGUCAACGCAUAGAGGAGAAAGAUACGAACACUUUUACCGGAUUAGAUUUUUUAUUGGAGUUACGGAUCGCAAGUAAUCGAAGUUAGAAACUCACGGUUCCAUGGUUUCCGUUCUCUUCUCUCUCUCACGGUGUUUCUCUCUUUUUUUUUUUUCUUUCCUUCAUUCGGUGAUAUGAAAG